GAGGGUAUAGCUUAGUGGUAGAGUGUGUGCUUAGCAUGCACAAGGUCCUGGGUUCAAUCCCCAGUAUCUCCA
rnacentral:tRNA from 1 species